AAAUGUGAAGCACAAAGGAAUAUAAAUCAUUCUAUUAUAAAGAUUUGCUCAGCAUUUGUAAAAGCCAUCCAGUGGCGUUCUGGUCAAUUGGUUCUCAGAAGACAAAAAACAAAACCAACCAAAAAAUCAAAAAACAAAACAAGAAUCCUCUGAAGGGAAGGAAAGGAAGGAGGGAGGAAGGAGAGAAGGAUGAAAGGAGGAGUGGAAGGUGGGGAAGGAGAGAAGGAAG
rnacentral:lncRNA from 1 species